CGUGGUGUAAAGUGCAGAAAUUAAAAAUGGCGGAUUUUCUGUCCAGCAAAUACUACUCAGAAACUAAAGUUUUAAAGCUAAAACUCAUCCUAGAAAUUUUUGUGAAGAAGACCUAGUGGUAUAGAAAUUACUGAAGAGGCUAACUGUAUUAAUUGUAAUGGAAAUCUUUUACUGAAAGUGAGUAAGAUUCCUGCAGAUGUACAAGCUAAAGGUGGUCCUCUUAGUAUCAGUGGAGAGGUAGCUCAUGCCAUCAAUCUCAGUGGACUGAGGGAAGUGUGUAUUAGGAGAGUGGAUAAAGAUGAAGUGACACUUGAUUUGGUUGAAUUCAUAUUUAAAAUGAAAGUUCAUCCUCUGACAGUCUUCAGGCUGAUGUUGCUAUAAGAGGUGUCUGGUAGCCAUAGGGUACGUGCCUGUUUGAUGUAAGAGUUAUUAGUGAUUUAAUGAUACCAUAAUGAUGCAAUGAGUCAAUAUUUGCAAAUUAUUGGGGCGAGCCUGAGCUUGCCCCACUAAGAUGAGUAGGGGUCUU